rnacentral:rRNA from 1 species
ACCGAUAGUGAACCAGUACCGUGAGGGAAAGGCGAAAAGAACCCCGGCGAGGGGAGUGAAAUAGAACCUGAAACCGUGUACGUACAAGCAGUGGGAGCCUUGAUUUAUCAGGGUGACUGCGUACCUUUUGUAUAAUGGGUCAGCGACUUAUAUUCUGUAGCAAGGUUAACCGUAUAGGGGAGCCGUAGGGAAACCGAGUCUUAACUGGGCGAAUGAGUUGCAGGGUAUAGACCCGAAACCCGGUGAUCUAGCCAUGGGCAGGUUGAAGGUUGGGUAACACUAACUGGAGGACCGAACCGACUAAUGUUGAAAAAUUAGCGGAUGACUUGUGGCUGGGGGUGAAAGGCCAAUCAAACCGGGAGAUAGCUGGUUCUCCCCGAAAGCUAUUUAGGUAGCGCCUCGUGAACUCAUCUUCGGGGGUAGAGCACUGUUUCGACUAGGGGGUCAUCCCGACUUACCAACUCGAUGCAAACUACGAAUACCGAAGAAUGUUAUCACGGGAGACACACGGCGGGUGCUAACGUUCGUCGUGAAGAGGGAAACAACCCAGACCGCCAGCUAAGGUCCCAAAGUCAUAGUUAAGUGGGAAACGAAGUGGGAAGGCUCAGACAGCCAGGAUGUUGGCUUAGAAGCAGCCAUCAUUUAAAGAAAGCGUCAUAGCUCACUGGUCGAGUCGGCCUGCGCGGAAGAUGUAACGGGGCUAAACUAUGCACCGAAGCUGCGGCAGCGAUAUGUAAAUAUUGUUGGGUAGGGGAGCGUUCUGUAAGCCUGU